rnacentral:misc_RNA from 1 species
AGAGAGAGAUAGAAGAUGAAGAAAAAAAACAAAAAGGCUAGCCUGAGGUGGGAUGAAAUAAGUAGAAAAUAAGCCAGAAAAAAAAUUACCUGGAGAGUGCAUAGCAGAGGCCUUUGAUGAAGCUGGAGCAUCAGGAUGUGAUUAAGCUUAUUGUCCCUUUCUUCUUCUUUGGCAUUUUAAAUCCUAAAUUAAAUGCCGAAAAUUUCUUUCUAAAAAAUAUUGAGAAAAUUGUGCAUGUGAACUCAUUAAUUUUCAUGUUUGGAUGUAAGUUUAUUUUGUUAUAUUUGAUUGUCUUUGUUAUCAAAUUGUGUGCUAAAAUA